CACCGCCUGGGGAGUACGACCGCAAGGUUAAAACUCAAAUGAAUUGACGGGGACCCGCACAAGUAGUGGAGCAUGUGGUUUAAUUCGAAGAUACGCGCAGAACCUUACCAACACUUGACAUGUUCGUCGCGACUUUAAGAGAUUAAAGUUUUCGGUUCGGCCGGACGAAACACAGGUGCUGCAUGGCUGUCGUCAGCUCGUGUCGUGAGAUGUUGGGUUAAGUCCCGCAACGAGCGCAACCCUCACUUUUAGUUGCCAUCAUUAAGUUGGGCACUCUGAAAGAACUGCCAGUGAUAAGCUGGAGGAAGGUGGGGAUGACGUCAAGUCCUCAUGGCCCUUACGUGUUGGGCUACACACGUGCUACAAUGGUAUUUACAAAAGGAAGCAAAACGGCGACGUUUAGCAAAUCCUUAAAAAAUACCUCAGUUCGGAUUGCACUCUGCAACUCGAGUGCAUGAAGCUGGAAUUACUAGUAAUCGUGGAUCAGCGUGCCACGGUGAAUGCGUUCCCGGGUCUUGUACACACCGCCCGUCACACCAUGGGAGUUGGUUCUACCUUAAGGCAAGGUUUAAAACCCUUGACCACGGUAUAGUCAGCGACUGGGGUGAAGUCGUAACAAGGUAGCCGUAGGGGAACCUGCGGCUGGAUUACCUCCUUUCUAAGGAUGAAUGAAAUUAUGUUUCAUUCUAAAUAAUUAACAGGUUAAUGUUGACCGUCCUCGUUUCUCUUCUUAAAUUAGUGUUUCUCUUGCAUGGGGGCCGGUAGCUCAGUUGGUUAGAGCACACCCUUGAUAAGGGUGGGGUCGAAAGUUCGAGUCUUUCUCGGCCCACCAAACUAGAAUCUUGGGGGAUUAGCUCAGCUGGGAGAGCGCCUGAUUUGCAUUCAGGAGGUCAGCGGUUCGAUCCCGCUAUCCUCCACCAGAAACACUUAGCUAUUAAAUUUGUAAAUAAAAUAAUUAAUAUCAAUAUCUAUAUCCGAACAUUAGUAUCUUUAUUAGCUAAUGUUCAGAUAAAAAUUUGAUUCAACACAGAAUUUUUUUCUG
rnacentral:sRNA from 1 species